AGAGUUUGAUCCUGGCUCAGGACGAACGCUGGCGGCGUGCCUAACACAUGCAAGUUGAGCGGAGAUAUAUGGAGCUUGCUUUAUAUAACUUAGCAGCGAACGGGUGAGUAACACGUAGAUAAUCUAUCCUAUACUGGGGGAUAGCCCGAUGAAGGUUGGAUUAAUACCGCAUAUAGCUAUAUAGUUGCAUGAUUAUGUAGUGAAAGAUUUAUUGGUAUAGGAGGAGUCUGCGGCACAUUAGCUAGUAGGUGAGGUAAAGGCUUACCUAGGCGACGAUGUGUAGCCGGUCUGAGAGGAUGAACGGCCACAAUGGAACUGAGACACGGUCCAUACUCCUACGGGAGGCAGCAGUGGGGAAUAUUGCACAAUGGGGGAAACCCUGAUGCAGCAACGCCGCGUGAGUGAAGAAGGUUUUCGGAUUGUAAAGCUCUGUUAGCAGGGAAGAGGAAGGACGGUACCUGCAGAGGAAGCCACGGCUAACUACGUGCCAGCAGCCGCGGU
rnacentral:rRNA from 1 species